rnacentral:rRNA from 1 species
GAAUUUAAUAUAAAAUAAUUUUAGUUAAUUAGAUUAGGGAGAUAUUAUUUUAUUUUUAGUUGGGAUAAUUAUUAAAUUUAAAGAAUUUUAAUUAAAGAAAAUAUAAAUUAGUGAAUUAAAAUGAAUGGUGGAUAGAUUUAAGUAGAAUAAAUUACCUUAGGGAUAACAGCGUUAUAUUUUUAGUGAGGCCUUAUCUAUAAAAAUGUUUGC